rnacentral:rRNA from 1 species
GGGACCAUCCUCCAAGGCUAAAUACUCCUGACUGACCGAUAGUGAACCAGUACCGUGAGGGAAAGGCGAAAAGAACCCCGGCGAGGGGAGUGAAAAAGAACCUGAAACCGUGUACGUACAAGCAGUGGGAGCACGCUUAGGCGUGUGACUGCGUACCUUUUGUAUAAUGGGUCAGCGACUUAUAUUCUGUAGCAAGGUUAACCGAAUAGGGGAGCCGAAGGGAAACCGAGUCUUAACUGGGCGUUAAGUUGCAGGGUAUAGACCCGAAACCCGGUGAUCUAGCCAUGGGCAGGUUGAAGGUUGGGUAACACUAACUGGAGGACCGAACCGACUAAUGUUGAAAAAUUAGCGGAUGACUUGUGGCUGGGGGUGAAAGGCCAAUCAAACCGGGAGAUAGCUGGUUCUCCCCGAAAGCUAUUUAGGUAGCGCCUCGUGAAUUCAUCUCCGGGGGUAGAGCACUGUUUCGGCAAGGGGGUCAUCCCGACUUACCAACCCGAUGCAAACUGCGAAUACCGGAGAAUGUUAUCACGGGAGACACACGGCGGGUGCUAACGUCCGUCGUGAAGAGGGAAACAACCCAGACCGCCAGCUAAGGUCCCAAAGUCAUGGUUAAGUGGGAAACGAUGUGGGAAGGCCCAGACAGCCAGGAUGUUGGCUUAGAAGCAGCCAUCAUUUAAAGAAAGCGUAAUAGCUCACUGGUCGAGUCGGCCUGCGCGGAAGAUGUAACGGGGCUAAACCAUGCACCGAAGCUGCGGCAGCGACGCUUAUGCGUUGUUGGGUAGGGGAGCGUUCUGUAAGCCUGUGAAGGUGUACUGUGAGGUAUGCUGGAGGUAUCAGAAGUGCGAAUGCUGACAUAAGUAACGAUAAAGCGGGUGAAAAGCCCGCUCGCCGGAAGACCAAGGGUUCCUGUCCAACGUUAAUCGGGGCAGGGUGAGUCGACCCCUAAGGCGAGGCCGAAAGGCGUAGUCGAUGGGAAACAGGUUAAUAUUCCUGUACUUGGUGUUACUGCGAAGGGGGGACGGAGAAGGCUAUGUUGGCCGGGCGACGGUUGUCCCGGUUUAAGCGUGUAGGCUGGUUUUCCAGGCAAAUCCGGAAAAUCAAGGCCGAGGCGUGAUGACGAGGCACUACGGUGCUGAAGCAACAAAUGCCCUGCUUCCAGGAAAAGCCUCUAAGCAUCAGGUAACAUCAAAUCGUACCCCAAACCGACACAGGUGGUCAGGUAGAGAAUACCAAGGCGCUUGAGAGAACUCGGGUGAAGGAACUAGGCAAAAUGGUGCCGUAACUUCGGGAGAAGGCACGCUGAUACGUAGGUGAAGCGACUUGCUCGUGGAGCUGAAAUCAGUCGAAGAUACCAGCUGGCUGCAACUGUUUAUUAAAAACACAGCACUGUGCAAACACGAAAGUGGACGUAUACGGUGUGACGCCUGCCCGGUGCCGGAAGGUUAAUUGAUGGGGUUAGCGCAAGCGAAGCUCUUGAUCGAAGCCCCGGUAAACGGCGGCCGUAACUAUAACGGUCCUAAGGUAGCGAAAUUCCUUGUCGGGUAAGUUCCGACCUGCACGAAUGGCGUAAUGAUGGCCAGGCUGUCUCCACCCGAGACUCAGUGAAAUUGAACUCGCUGUGAAGAUGCAGUGUACCCGCGGCAAGACGGAAAGACCCCGUGAACCUUUACUAUAGCUUGACACUGAACAUUGAGCCUUGAUGUGUAGGAUAGGUGGGAGGCUUUGAAGUGUGGACGCCAGUCUGCAUGGAGCCGACCUUGAAAUACCACCCUUUAAUGUUU